AUGGUGACAAAGAUGGCAUCUGGACCUGGGCUGGGGGCCAGGUGGCUGAUCUUUAUUCCCCCUGCACCUUGGAGCUCCUGCCCAGCUGAACCAGGGUGGCAUCACUGGAACGGCAGCUGCUACUUCUGGGACGCUUUGUCGGUGAGCGGGUGGCACGAGGCCCUGCGCUCCUGCCGGAGGUUCAGGAAAACAGAGCUGCUCUACCUGACGUCCCCCCAGGAGCUGAACUGGAUCCGCUCACAUUUCCAGGGCUCCUUCUGGACAGGGUUGAAUGAUCUGAAGGAAGAGUCUGUAUUCCGGUGGACAACACAGGAGGCCCUCAAUCAGCAGAUGGCACAGUAUUUGCGAGAUGACAUGGCAGAUGGAGGCCUCAAGGACUGUGUGCUGUUCGAUGAGGCGACUGGAUUUCUAGCAGAUGCCAACUGUGCAGCCAAGAGACCCUUCCUCUGCAAAUGUAGCGAAGCCAUAGAGUGGUUUGAUGAGCAUCCUCACCACGGUGUGGCCGGAGAGCCAUCCCUGCUCUACCCGUCUGUGGGAAACCUGGAGGAAGCGAAGCAGGAGUGCCUGCUAGAGCGCAGUGUGUGCGUUGCCGUCCUCCAGACAGGGCUCGGCUUCUACUUGAUGAGCUCCACAGAUGAUAUUCUCUCCCAGCCGAAUUCAACCGUCUAUGUGUGGAACAUUUGUGCUGAGGGCUUCAGUGGUCCCGACUGCCUCACAGCUCAAGCCCCUGCUCCCCGCCCAGCCUGUGAUUGCAGUGGCAGAUUUCAGACAGCAGCUGAAAAAGUCUGUGGUGUCCCAGUGCAAACCUGUGUGGACGACUGCCGACAUAUGACUGCCUGGCAUAACUGCUCAGUAUGCCUGCCUGCCUGCACCGAGGCUGGCCUGAGCGCCCUGGGUGCUGAGGAACUUGCCCUCCUAAUGAUGGUCCAGUUCAAAGUAUCUCACUCCCUCAACCUUACCACAGAAGAUGAACGGGACCGAGGAAAUUCAUCCAACAUCAUCUAUGACAGCAAGUACCCAUGAUGCCUCCUCAUCCUGGGAAAAGAAUAAAGUCUUGAGAUUUCCCCCUCCCCCCCA
rnacentral:lncRNA from 1 species